rnacentral:rRNA from 1 species
UGGGGAAUAUUGCACAAUGGGCGCAAGCCUGAUGCAGCCAUGCCGCGUGUAUGAAGAAGGCCUUCGGGUUGUAAAGUACUUUCAGCGGGGAGGAAGGCGAUAAGGUUAAUAACCUUGUCGAUUGACGUUACCCGCAGAAGAAGCACCGGCUAACUCCGUGCCAGCAGCCGCGGUAAUACGGAGGGUGCAAGCGUUAAUCGGAAUUACUGGGCGUAAAGCGCACACAGGCGGUCUGUCAAGUCGGAUGUGAAAUCCCCGGGCUCAACCUGGGAACUGCAUUCGAAACUGGCAGGCUAGAGUCUUGUAGAGGGGGGUAGAAUUCCAGGUGUAGCGGUGAAAUGCGUAGAGAUCUGGAGGAAUACCGGUGGCGAAGGCGGCCCCCUGGACAAAGACUGACGCUCAGGUGCGAAAGCGUGGGGAGCAAACA